rnacentral:rRNA from 1 species
CCUACGGGCGUCAGCAGUUAGGAAUCUUCCGCAAUGGGCGCAAGCCUGACGGAGCGACACUGCUUGAAGGAUGAAGGUCUUCGGAUCGUAAACUUCUGAACCUGCGACGAUUGUGACGGUAGCAGGCUAAUAGCACCGGCUAACUCCGUGCCAGCAGCCGCGGUAAUACGGAGGGUGCGAGCGUUAUCCGGAAUCACUGGGCGUAAAGGGCGCGUAGGCGGUUUGUUAAGUCCGAUGUUAAAGCGUGGGGCUCAACCCCAUCACGGCGUUGGAUACUGGCGAGCUAGACGGUUGGAGAGGAAGGUAGAAUUACCAGUGUAGCGGUGGAAUGCGUAGAUACUGGUAGGAAUACCCAUAGCGAAGGCAGCCUUCUGGACAACACGUGACGCUGAGGCGCGAAAGCGUGGGGAGCAAACC